rnacentral:lncRNA from 1 species
UCAAUAGCAUACAUAAUAUUAAUAACCCAUAAGAAUUACACAUUAGGUUUGGAUCACAACGCUGGAUAAAAGUCUAACUACUCAUAUUAAGAAUCGUGAAAAGAUGAAAAUAAAAAAAGUCAAAAGAUAUAAAACCCGAAUUAAAUAAAAAGUAAAUGAUUUUCUCAAAUUGUACCUCAAACAUGCUCCAGAUAGCUAAAUAUAACUGAUUCGUAGUUGUUACAUUUGAAGGAUGCCCUAAAGUUCUAUUUAUAUAACUCCCGGAAUCUCUAAUAAAAAGACCCUUUGCAGGGUUUUGCGGCUGCACAUCAACUUUUGUAGUAUGUACUUUGCUAAAUUGACACUGCUUGCUUUUAGUAGGAGAAGUUCUAUGGGUGUACUUUAAUUUCUACGUACCGUACUUGAGGAGGCUUCAAACUUAUUCAGUUGCUUCUUCUCUGAUCUUUCAACUUGUCAGUGCGAACCUAUUUUGCUUAUCAAGUGCAGCCAUAUAUUUUAUUAUGUGGACCGCUCUUCUGCCAAAACAUUCUGAAGCUUUAGUUCUUCCUCUACUUUUGAGUCAUUUUACUUCGUUGAACUUAUAUUUUCUAUCACACAUGUAAUUCA